UGGGGAAUAUUGCACAAUGGGCGCAAGCCUGAUGCAGCCAUGCCGCGUGUAUGAAGAAGGCCUUCGGGUUGUAAAGUACUUUCAGCGGGGAGGAAGGGAGUAAAGUUAAUACCUUUGCUCAUUGACGUUACCCGCAGAAGAAGCACCGGCUAACUCCGUGCCAGCAGCCGCGGUAAUACGGAGGGUGCAAGCGUUAAUCGGAAUUACUGGGCGUAAAGCGCACGCAGGCGGUUUGUUAAGUCAGAUGUGAAAUCCCCGGGCUCAACCUGGGAACUGGAUCUGAUACUGGCAAGCUUGAGUCUCGUAGAGGGGGGUAGAAUUCCAGGUGUAGCGGUGAAAUGCGUAGAGAUCUGGAGGAAUACCGGUGGCGAAGGCGGCCCCCUGGACGAAGACUGACGCUCAGGUGCGAAAGCGUGGGGAGCAAACAGG
rnacentral:rRNA from 1 species